GAUGAACGCUGGCGGCGUGCCCAAUACAUGCAAGUCGAGCGAACGGACGAGAAGCUUGCUUCUCUGAUGUUAGCGGCGGACGGGUGAGUAACACGUGGAUAACCUACCUAUAAGACUGGGAUAACUUCGGGAAACCGGAGCUAAUACCGGAUGAUAUUUUGAACCGCAUGGUUCAAAAGUGAAAGACGGUCUUGCUGUCACUUAUAGAUGGAUCCGCGCUGCAUUAGCUAGUUGGUAAGGUAACGGCUUACCAAGGCAACGAUGCAUAGCCGACCUGAGAGGGUGAUCGGCCACACUGGAACUGCGACACGGUCCAGACUCCUACGGGAGGCAGCAGUAGGGAAUCUUCCGCAAUGGGCGCAAGCCUGACGGAGCAACGCCGCGUGAGUCAUGAAGGUCUUCGGAUCGUAAAACUCUGUUAUUAGGGAAGAUCAUAUGUGUAAGUAACUGUGCACAUCUUGACGGUACCUAAUCAGAAAGCCACGGCUAACUACGUG
rnacentral:rRNA from 1 species